ensembl:lncRNA
UCAUUUGACAGAGUCACAUCAUGCUUUUAUGACGAAAAAGGAGUUCAUUUACAAGACAGACAGUAUAUAAAACAUACAUUGAAAUAAAAAAAGAACUCAUAAGUGUUUCUAUAGACAAGUACAUUAUUGUCUUUUCCUUCCCUUUGAGACCAAGCAGCCAUGGGACUGAACAAAACAUGGGCGAUCCCUGGAGGAAAGAAGCAGCAGUUAAAUCCUAUGCUAUUAUACCUACACUAUUUACAGUUCAACAGUCAUUUUCCUCUGUCAGACAUGGCAAGGAGGUCUACAGAUCUGAUGACAUGAAAUGGCUAAGAGAUCUAAUAUGUACAGUUUCUGCUCUUUGCAUCCAAGGAUCCACACGCUACGCCACAAAAUAUACAUGUUAAAAAUCCAGUCGCGGUCAGACAGGAUCAAAAAGUCCAAAUUUGGUAUUUAUCGUGUAACAGUCUCUUUGAUGAGCCAGUCAUGUGCACUGAUGACUGAUAGUUUGUCACCAUUCAAAGUAACAAGUUGAACUACUAUUCUUUUUUUUAAUCAGCUCUGCAUUUAAUUGGAGCCCUCAGCACCCAUUCCCAGGUUUCAGAAGUCAGUAAUGACCAUGUCAAAGAGGAGCAAAUAUGCAUUAGUGCAAAAACUGAGAGCGAUCAAAGAAAACUGUUCUAAAACGCUUAACGAGGUCGGUGCCAGGUUGAUGAAGAGAAAGAAAGAGAGAGAGAAGCAGACAGGAGGAGAAUAAGAGACAGAAAAGGAGAGGAGAGGAUGAGUUUACACCAGCCAAAUCUAAGAAUUACCCUUGAUAUUUUUUUUUUUUAGUAUUUGCUUUUUUUUCUAUUAGAGGACUCCAACAAACACAGAGCUACAUCAAGCUUCCUCUGAAGAGUGGGAGAGGCGGGAGAGCGUAAUAUUGGCUCAGACCUGGAGGAUAAAAGUAAAAAAAUUGGCACCAUCUCGUUCUUAAAAGAGGAAAUUGUCAUGAAAAGGUAAUGUGGAAACCCAGGAAUGAGUGCCAACCAGGUCUGUAAGAGCUCCGUAUGCCUCCUCCUACUCCUCCAGAGGGAUUCUGGGAGAGUGACAAGGUUCAAGAUAGAUCAAUGAAAGUAUGCCAUUAAUAAUCCUAUCCCCAUACAGCAUUGAUCAGUCCCACCAUCCUGCUUGGAAUAUCAAUCGCUUUAUCUACAGCUUAUACAUCUGAGCAGGUCGUCUGUUUGUGGAUAGAUAUGUGUGAAAGUACAAUCAUCCCGAGUAAACAAAUGUUUCCUAUGUAAGAUGCACGCUUAUUUAGAUAUUCUUCACAUCACGUUUUAACACUUGCACUUUGUUUCAACCAGUCCCAUGGCCAGCAACAAUGGCACCCAUGGCUCUCCGUACACGUCUGGCAAGACCAAUCACUGUAUACAAAAGGCAUGCAUAGAUUUAACCUUCUAAGACCACGAGAACAAAAAGCCACUUUUUAAAAAAUUAUUUGUCUCUAGAGAGUAAACCAAUCAUUUGCUGAUCAGCACUCGGUCAUAUAGAGAGAAAGAAUGAUGCUGCGUUUGUUUUUUUUUUUUUAGUUUGUCAUGUCUUAGUGAAGCUGGCAGGGGCCAUCAGAACGUGUUAAAUCUACAGACUGAGUCCCAGAAAACCAGGUGUCGAUUUUGAUCAGAUGGAGGCCACUCCUGAUAACUUUGCAGGUGUCAGAAAGCAAACAGCAGCCCCUCACACCCAGCGCAGAGAGGAGGUCACGCUAUGGCUAUAAGGAAAUCAGUGAAACACUGACUUAUGAAGCUAACAGUCAAUUUUCUCUCUUCAGCGUUUCACUGUUAAGAGGCCCAGAGCUGUUGGUUUGAAUUUACCAUCCUGUACAUUACUGGUACAUCAGCAUCAGCAGUAUGUUUGUUGCUGUUCCACCUACUGACCACUGGGGGUCACUAUUGUCACAUAGAAGAGGGGCUGGUAAUCGUCUGGUUAAGGUUAAGAUGAAGCAGCUCUUUAUGCAAGGUGCUUUAAACAAUCUUUCAGCAAAGCUCUGCUACAAGCCCAGUUCUACCUGAAUGUCCAGCCAGCAACGACAACAUCUCUUUGGCCAAUCGAGGAAAACCUCCACAUGCCAUAUUUCUGUCUGGAAACCCACUGAAUCCAGACUCCAGUAUUUGUAUGACACUCUGUUCUGAGAGGCCUCUUAUGAAAAUGGGACUAAUAAGCCAAGUAAUCACCCAAUCAGCCGAGCUCACUUCUCCAUCAUCCCAUUACUGCUGGUCUCAGCUCUGAAAAUUCAACUCAAGUCUAAUCCAAUCAGAACCGCAGCAGCUGUGGGAUGUGGAGUGAGAGAUGAUUUAGUCGGCGCUAAUACUGAAUCCGAAAAGAACGAAGACAAAGUCCAUGAAAAAUGCAGCCUUAAAGGUGGGACUGAAAUUAUUCUUUCUUGUCCAAGACAUUGAGAAAACAGCUCUGAGGGGUGAAAGCAAAGCCUUCUUAAUUAAGAAAUAGAAUGGAAACAGUGUUAGAAACCCCAAAAUAAGCUGAAUAUUUCAGGCUUGGCUGCUAAUGACGCAAUGAUUAUGGCAUCUUAGGGUUUUUCUUAUUUUGGUCUGCGUCUUUGAAGAGUUUCCCAGUGGAAAGCAUCCUAACUGUGAGGCGGCUGCUGCUGCUGCUGCUGCUGCUGCUGCUGCUGCUGCUGCUGCUGCUGCUGUAAAUGGGGCGUCUAGACUACACUACAGCAACCCCAGGCAAGGACAAACCAGAGGAGGGAGCGGGGGAUCGCUCAGCCUACUUUCUCCAGAAACAUGGCAGAGGAGAUGAAUCAAGCUCGCCUCCACUGGUAUCUACAAACACAGAGAGUCUGUCAGUGAAGUGAAGUGGCUUGGCUGCAAAGCUGUGUGCACUGGAGGAGAGCUGCUGAAGAAUUGCUUGGCAACUGCCAGAGAUGUCACUUAUAAUGCUUAACAUACUCCUAAACGCUCUGAAAAUGAAGCAAAAUUCAGUUGGACAGAUUUUUUCUUUUUUUUUUUAGCUUGAAGCAAAAUUAGCUCCUCCAUCUUUCAAAGACUUAGUGAAUAGUUACAGGCGCUUGUUUCCAACCGUGACCAGUUCUGAAAUGUCACUUUUCGAUGAAUGAACAGUGUGAAGAUGACUCAUUGUACCUCAGUGAGCAGAGAGUGACUGUAAGCUUUUAGUCAACAUCCCAACCCCUUUUCUGCAUUUGUUAAAGUGUGACAAGAUAUCAUCAAGACAAAAUACAUCCAGUCCAGUCCAUUGGUUUCUAUAUCCAGAGAAAGAUCCCAGAGCGACACUGUGCAGAGCGGGAAAGUUCCAGAUAUGUUUUGUUCUUUUCAGGAAUGGGUAGGGUGUGAAAUGGGAACCAGUGUUUUGUUUUUUUUUCAGGGAACCUGGGUCACCCCUUUCAUCUCUUAUCUCCACUGUUCCAAUCACUGCUCCGUGUUAGAUGUCAUCAUGAGGAGCAACACAACCAUAACACGACAACACCAACCACACAGAACACGUGUCUACUACCACACAACCAUAUUCCAGCCUAAUACUGUGAACAGGGACAACGAGGGUUGGAAAUGCAAAGAAGACAAGGAGGGAGAGGAAGAGGGGGGAGGAGGACGGCAAAGAGGGGAGGAGAAGAAGAAGAAGGUACUAAAAUGAAACACAUCCUCAUCUACGCCUACAUUUGUGUAUGAUGUUUACGCAAUAACACCAUCGACAAACACUACAGACAGUCUCACUGUCUUCUAAGCCUAGUUUCCACUGAGAAACAGGGGGAACGGAAACACAGAAGGGUCGACUCUGGGAGAGGAGAUGUCCAUGAAGGCAGCGUCCUGUUCUCAACACCACGGGAACCAAAAUGGC